CAAUAGCGUAUACUAAAGUUGUUGCAGUUAAAAAGCUCGUAGUUGAAUUUCUGGUCGUGGCGAUCGGUCCGCCCCUCACGGGUGUGCACCUGGUCUCUACGUCCAUCCUCGGGAGGAGCGCGUCUGGCAUUCAGUUGUCGGGUGCGGGAUCCUCGUCAUUUACUGUGAGCAAAAUAGAGUGUUCAAAGCAGGCUUAGGCCGUUGAAUACAUUAGCAUGGAAUAAUAAGAUAGGACCUUGGUCUAUUUUGUUGGUUGCAUUCCAAGGUAAUGAUUAAUAGGGAUAGUUGGGUGAUUUCGUAUUCAAUUGUCAGAGGUGAAAUUCUUGGAUUUAUGGAAGACGAACUACUGCGAAAGCAUUUUACCAAGGAUGUUUUUCAUUAAUCAAGAACGAAAGUUAGGGGAUCGAAGACGAUUGAGUAUCA
rnacentral:rRNA from 1 species